rnacentral:lncRNA from 1 species
UCUCAUAUUUGAGCUACUAUGAAAGAUACUAAAUAAAAUUGUAUAUAAUUAAAAUUAGUGAGAAACUUAAAUAUUUUCAAAUUAUUUAACACAUGUUAAAAUAAUAUAUAUUAAAGUUUUACAGUUAAUUUUUUUGUUCCUUCCACAAACAUAGCUCUCUCUAAGAAUUACUAUCGUCUAUUUUGUCAUGUAGGUUCAGUAGGUACCUAAAAUUUCUCCCUCGUUUUGUCAUGUACUCCACAAUGUGGUUUCAAUUUACUUCUUGUUUUCUAGUUCUUAUCCAUACCAGCAUGCCAUCAGUAUGUUGAGUUGCCUAUUAUUAACAUUUGUUAAAUGUGCAAAGCCUGAAAGUAACAAUGUACUUGCACUAGGAUUAUUUAGACAAAACACCAACAGAUUCAGAGGCUAAAAAUAUAUAACCAUGUCCUAAAUUUUUUAACAAAUUACAAUCCAGAGACAUUCAUCACUAACAAAGAGUUCAAAUGAAAUGUAAUUAGAUUGCUGCCAAUCAAGGCAACAAGCUAUUCCAAUCCACAAAAGUUUAUAUCAGCAGGCAUCAAAUUCCUGGCCACCAAGAGUUCUAUAACCAACUUCAAAGCAUAACUUCUUAAACACAUUUAUAUGAUAUAAUAAUAAUAAUAAAGUACAAAUCCCAAGUUAAUGUCAUUAUUCCCUCAAAAUGCUACAGUAUAGCAAAUAAGAUUAAAUCUUUUGUUCUUCCCCUCCCCCCCCCCCCCCUCCUCCCCAGGAAUUACAGGCAUUCCCCCGGUACACGGAUGAUUAAAUUAAAAUUAUAAAUCCAAAAUAUUAAACCAAAAGGACUGAUACCGAUCGAUCAGAAAUUGAGAAUUCCACAUAUCAACUUGGAAAUCGUAGAUAUUUUAGAAUAAAAGAAGAAGAAUGAUUGAUUCUACUAUGAAAUUUUAAUACCAAUCUUUCAAAUCAUCCACCAGAUGGUCGCCACACCCUUUCCAUCAAAAUUUCAAAUGUUCCACUCCAAAAGAUCGUAUCCCCUGUUAAAGUCCAAUCUGAAAGUAAUCAAUCAAUACAAAGAACGGUUCGUGUUGAAGGCGAAAAAGAGUAAAAAUCCAAGCUGACGAGUUCAUAUAAUCAAUAAAAAGAAUGAUUCGUAAGGGGAAAGAAACCUGAAACCACGAGCUUUAAAAAUUCGACCAUCAAAAGGUCACUCCAUGAAAUCCAUAAAUCAUACACCUCACACCUAUCACUGUGAAACCCAAAACUCAUCCUCCUCAUCGAUCUCCGUGAAUCUUAUAAAUCAUCCCCUCAAUUGAGUCAUUUUAGUAAAUCAUCACUCUCUUGCAGGUACGGUCUUGAAUUGAUCCUGCCCCGAAAAAUCCUAACAAAAAUUCUUUAAGAAAUCUUUCCAUCGUCUUAUCCAUGAAUCCUCCCAUAUUCAUACCAAAUGAUGGAAAAUAAAUAAAUAAAUAAAUAAAACCUCUAUCUGGAUAGGCACCGGAAUUUUCAUACGUGUGUACGCACAUAGACUUGUACUAUAUGCACAGAGACAACAUGUACUUUACGCACAGAGACAUGUAUCGUACACGUCCAAUACUGUACACAGAGAUCAGACGCAUACUGUAACAACGAGAACCGAUGUGAAAUGCACCCACAGAGAAGACGGGUUCCAUGCUCAAAGAGCCAACGUUUAACGUAGACGAUGCGUCGAUGACCAGAGGCUCCAUGCAAGAUUCUCUCCAUUCAAGAAACAUCAUCUGGAGACUAGAAAUCUAAGAAGGAUGUCAAAAAUCCUUAAAGAAAAUAAAUUCGGCUAGAGGCAAAAACCAUUUGAUGCAUAUAUAGAAAUAUCAUUCAAAAAGAACAUGUUUGACUCUAUGAAUCAGGCUCCUGAAAACAAAUUGUCAAGGAAACAAUCAAAAUAAAGAAUUUUGUCCAAAGCCUUUAUCUUCUAUUAUUAUCUAAUAAUUCCCCCACUACAAAGCCCAAACAAUCCUCUUGCACAUGACUUACCCCCUCCUUUUGUUAGCCAAUUUGAAGUUUACAUAAAAGGAAAUCCUAGUGGGAUCAUGGAUAUAUUUUUAAUGGAAAUCCUAUUAUAAUCUGUAUUUUGGCUAUAGUAUAUUUUAUGAUACACAAUAUGACAUGCCACACCACAAUACAACAAACAAAACAUACACACAUACACAUUCAGCAUUGAAAAAAAAUUUUGUUAACAGAAACACAUUGCCCUCACAAGAUAAGAAUGAAUUGAGCAAAUUUAUGUGAAAGUAAGAUAGAAUUAGUUGCGAAAGAGUUAAAAGUAAGACAAACAAGACAGAAUUUCAAAAGGGGAAAACUCUCAAAUCAUUGGAUUAGUUGGGAUUGACGGGGCUCGAACCCGCAACUUCCGCCUUGCAAUAGCAUUGUUGUCACCAAUUGAACUACAAUCCCAAGGACAGGUCACAAUGGUCAAUAUAAAUAAUCAAACAAACUGCACAAAUUAGUACUUACAUACAUUUUGAAAAUCAUACAUCUUUAAAAUAGACCUUGUAAGUAAAAAGAAAAAUCAAUUCAUGUUAUAUGUUGUCAACCCCACACACCACAUCAUAUUAUUUCCUGCAGAAAUAACAAACAAUUAUAAGCCCAAAAGACAAUGAAUUCAAAAUCAUGAAACCUACACACAAAAUAAUGAGAAGUUUAAAGCAAGGGAAAUACAAAAUGGAACGUUUUUCAAAGAUGAGGCCAUGCCCUAUAUAAAGUAUAAGAUAAAAGCCAAUAAUUGCAUAUGAAAAAAGAAAAAAAAGAAAUAUAAGAUAAAAGCCCAAUAAGUGCAAAACACACAUUUUCUUCAUUCAUCUGAAAAUGAAAACAAAAGCAGAAGUGUACCAACCUCUACUUCUCUUGUCCUGAAGAAUAUAUGCAAAUUUGUUUAAUAUAAUUAUCAAAGCAUUCUUAUAAAGAUUUCAAAACUCUCAAAGGCAUAUAAUCAUAAAGCAUUCUUACAACCCCUCGUAUUCAAACUCUGAUUGUUCAAUCAGCUGAUCCUCAUCAAUAAGAUAUUGUUCAAAUCAUCCAACCAUUCUACCUACACAUGGAAAUAAUGAGAAAAUAAAAAAAUGGCAAAAUAGAACUCUCUGGAGUUUGGUGGCAAACAAUUGGCUUGUCAAGUGCUAAACUCAUAAAAGGAAGUAAAAUAAAAAAAAUAUCCACAACAAAUGGUGAUUCUCAUUAGAGGACCCUUAGGUUGCCAUAGAUGAAAAUCUACCUAAAACAAAUAUUUCAUAGAAAGUCUUGGACUAAAGGUGAAAUUAUUAAUGCAAAAGACAAGCACACAAAGCACAUGAAAAUGGGAAAUGAAACCCUUGUUUUCCAAAUAUGAGCGAGAUUGUGAGAUAAACCUACGAUGAAAUGGGAAAUGAAACCCUAGUUUUCCAAAUAUGAGCGAGAUUAUGAGAUAAACCCAUGAUGCCCAUUCCACAGUAUUUUUAUUUAUUGCAUUUUGUAUAUACAACAAAGGAGACCAACCUCUUCCAGUUAACAACAUCACUUACUUCCUCCAGUUGUGGAAAAACAUGCAGAUACUUGGAGAUGAUCAUCAAAGCAUACUUAUAAUACCUAGUUAACCCAACAUUGAUGGAGAUGAGUACAUUGCCAAAAAACAAAUUGGAAGAAAUCCGAAAGAUCAGGUUUCUAAACCCAUACUUAGAAAUAGAAAAUAAAAGAAACCAUAAAUAAUAUAAAAGUUUAAGAAUGAAUGUGAUCUCCCCAUCUGAUGACCCAAGCUUUUAAGUUGGUAAAAUAGCUGCCAUGCAACAUACAUUACUUCAGCAUUAUUGACAUAGCUCCACUCUAUCAACAUCAUAGAUGCUAUGCACAAAAAUUGGGACAUCUCUUAGCUAACCUGCACACACAUAAAUUACCAACCCUGCAUCCCAUGAUUCAUCCUAUUUAAAGAAACUGUUAAAGUAUAUAUGCUUCAAAUAAAAACCAAAUCACAAAUCAAAUAUCUUAAAAGGAUUGAAAGAUGACAUGCUGAUACCAAAAAAAAAAGAGGGAACGGCCAACUUUGAUUAAUGAAAAAUAAUUCAUAUUAAGAGUGAAAAAAAAUAAAUGAAAGAAAUGAACUUAUCUUCAUUGUCAACCUGGAUAACUUAAGCUAACUAUCAUACCUAUUUCCCAUAGAAACCACAAUUAUCAUUAGAAAACAAUUUUCUAGCCGGGUGCCCACCAAGUCAUGCAUACCACAUGCAUUGAAAAGAGCAGAAAAAUGCUGACAUACAACUAAAACCUAAAAAUCACUCAAGAAAAAAACAGCCCCUAAUAUAACUUCAAAAAUCCAUGUCAUGUCAAUAUUGUUUAUCUGAUUGAUAACAGUACAAAUUCCAGAUGAGGAACCUGAACCAUGGAUGACUCGCAUGUUCAAGGAAUAAACUCCAACACAAUCUUGUUGUAGCAAAAUACAAACACAGACAUGGGUUAAAACCCCACAUCCCACCAUGUGUGCAUUUCAAAAAAGCAAAAACAAUGAGCAUCUCUCUUCCCAUUAUUAAGUGUACUUCUACAGUGUAUUGAGUAGCAGGACCUAAAAUCUAGUCAAAUUUGUGUUUCCAUAUUCCUACAACAACACUCCCUAUUCAAAAGCUUAUCAGGGCCAUGGUCUGUUAUAGGUGAGACAAAUCCACUACCAUAGAAAAUAUAUCUCACAUAGAAUUUGAGAAUGUAAAAAAACCAAAUCACCAAAAUUUUACCUCAAAAACUUGCAGAACAAGGAAAAAGCAUCAAAAGGAAACCAAGAGAGGAAACAAAACCCACCUUACACCCCCAAAAUUACCCAACAUUAAUUCAUGAUGCAGUGUCACAGAUUAUUGAAGUAGAUAAAAAAACAUUCAGAUUGAAUUUCAAAGCAUACAAACUUAAAAUCCAUCAGCCUGUAUAUAGGAACAACUGAUAUCCCAGAGCUAUAACUAAAGAGGAACCAAGGAUUUAGGAGAUUCCUCAAAAGAAAUCCAACACCUUCCAUACAGUAGGUCAUACUUUACCGUCCAACAUAGCAGCAUGCCAUCAGUAUGUUGAGUUCCCAAAACGUUUGUUAAAUGUGCAAAGCCUACAAGUAGUAACAAUGUACUCGCACAUUAACCUUUUUAGACAAAACACCAACAGAUUCAGAGGCUAAAAAUAUACAACUAUGUCCCAAAUUUUUUAACAAAUUACUGACAAAACCAGGGACAUUCAUUACUAUCAAUUGAAAUGUAAUCAGAUUGCUGCCAAUCAAGGCAACGCAUUGCUUAUUCAAAGCUAUUAAUCCAAUCCACCCAUAAAAGCUCAUU